GUUGGAUUAGUGGCGAACGGGUGAGUAUCACGUGAGUAACCUUCCCUUAACUCUGGGAUAAGCCCGGGAAACUGGGUCUAAUACCGGAUACGACCAGUCCUCGCAUGGGGUGCUGGUGGAAAGAUUUAUCGGUUUUGGAUGGACUCGCGGCCUAUCAGCUUGUUGGUGAGGUAAUAGCUCACCAAGGCGAUGACGGGUAGCCGGCCUGAGAGGGUGACCGGCCACACUGGGACUGAGACACGGCCCAGACUCCUACGGGAGGCAGCAGUGGGGAAUAUUGCACAAUGGGCGAAAGCCUGAUGCAGCGACGCCGCGUGCGGGAUGACGGCCUUCGGGUUGUAAACCGCUUUCAGCAGGGAAGAAGCGAAAGUGACGGUACCUGCAGAAGAAGCGCCGGCUAACUACGUGCCAGCAGCCGCGGUAAUACGUAGGGCGCGAGCGUUAUCCGGAAUUAUUGGGCGUAAAGAGCUCGUAGGCGGUUUGUCACGUCUGCUGUGAAAGCCCGAGGCUCAACCUCGGGUGUGCAGUGGGUACGGGCAGACUAGAGUGCAGUAGGGGAGACUGGAAUUCCUGGUGUAGCGGUGAAAUGCGCAGAUAUCAGGAGGAACACCGAUGGCGAAGGCAGGUCUCUGGGCUGUUACUGACGCUGAGGAGCGAAAGCAUGGGGAGCGAACAGGAUUAGAUACCCUGGUAGUCCAUGCCGUAAACGUUGGGCACUAGGUGUGGGGGACAUUCCACGUUUUCCGCGCCGUAGCUAACGCAUUAAGUGCCCCGCCUGGGGAGUACGGCCGCAAGGCUAAAACUCAAAGGAAUUGACGGGGGGCCCGCACAAGCGGCGGAGCAUGCGGAUUAAUUCGAUGCAACGCGAAGAUCUUACCAAGGCUUGACAUGGACCGGAUCGCUGCAGAGAUGCAGUUUCCUCUUCGGGUCGGUUCCCAGGUGGUG
rnacentral:rRNA from 1 species